rnacentral:piRNA from 1 species
UAAACACCUACUCCCCAUUACCCUCUUC